UACGUAGGGGGCAAGCGUUGUCCGGAAUCAUUGGGCGUAAAGCGCGUGUAGGCGGUCCGAUAAGUCGGUUGUGAAAGUCAAGGGCUCAACCCUUGAAUGCCGACCGAUACUGUCGGGCUAGAGUCCGGAAGAGGUGAGUGGAAUUCCUGGUGUAGCGGUGAAAUGCGCAGAUAUCAGGAGGAACACCGGUGGCGAAGGCGGGUCUCUGGGCAGUAACUGACGCUGAGGAGCGAAAGCGUGGGGAGCGAACAGG
rnacentral:rRNA from 1 species